GUACUUUCUCUCUCUUCUCUCUCCUCUCCAUCUCCCUCUAGGUCUUCGACGCGCUUCUCUUUUCUUCUUCUCUUCGAUCUCCGAUUUACACUUCCAGUGUUGCUGUUUUGCUCCAAGUUUUCAAGGAUUCAAGGUUUGGAUGUUCUGUUUACAACCUCUGUUUCUGUUUGAAGUUCGAUUUCAAGUUCGAUUUCAAGUUCUGGGGUUCAGUGGCGGCUUCUGAUCUACGUUGUUCGAUUGGAUUUUUUCUAUGUUCUUCAGUUAUUGUGGUGUGUUCUUGCGAUUUAAGCCAGUGCGAGAGGUUUUGUUUCGUGGAGCUGUUGGGAUUUACUGGAAAGUUUGUCAAGCUACUGGGUUUAGCUUGAAUGGUUUGGCGUGUUUGCAGUGGAGGUGCAUGACCACGUCCGUGUUCAGUUAGUGACUGUAUUCUUGAAGAAUCAGAAUUGAUCCAAGAAGCUAGUGAAGCAGCCAGCUUGUGGUUUACAUAAAUGGACCUGAGGACGGAAAAGAAUAUUAGAUACCCGGAGAGAUGCUAUGGAAAUAGUUCCUUUCGCACUGCCGGUGAAUCAGAGGGUUCUGGCAGCUCGGGAAGAAUUGACCCUGAGAUUGCUGCUUCGGAAGUUUCUAGCACCCCAAUGAGGAGAUGUAUCAGUUUUAGUUCAGAUAGCCGUGAAGGUUUGCGAGUUCCAACCCAAGUUCUUCCCUUAACAAGCCUGUUGCAGUCUGAGAGGAAGGACUUGGUUUACAGGCUGAGAAAAGAACUCGAACAGAUUCAGACCCUCAGAAAGAAAGUAGAAUUGCUUAGGACACAUAGUUUUACAGUUUCAUCUUCAAGUGAUAUUCUUAGCUGUAGCAAUGUACGCAAUGGGCCAUCAGCUGAAUAUGUUCAAAAUACCUCAAAUCUGACUUCAGGGCAACGAAAGAAAUCUAAUGUUUCAAGCCAUAAGAAAGGGCAAGGAUCCAGUCGGGUUGCUUCAGAUAAAGUUGGGCCUGCUGUGAAAGCAUCUGUUUCUAACACCCCAAAUGCUACUUCAGCAAUUUUGAUGAAACAGUGUGAACAACUUUUGAAAAGAGUAAUGUCACACCAGUAUGCCUGGGUAUUUAACACUCCUGUUGAUGUAGUGAAGUUAAAUCUCCCCGAUUAUUUCACAAUUAUCAAGCACCCAAUGGAUUUGGGAACAGUGAAA
rnacentral:misc_RNA from 1 species